CCUACGGGAGGCAGCAGUAGGGAAUAUUGCGCAAUGGCCUAACGGCUGACGCAGCAACGCCGCGUGGACGACGAAGCUUUUCGGAGUGUAAAGUCCUUUCAGCGGGGACGAACGGGUCUUCGGGCCCUUGACUGUACCCGCAGAAGAAGCACCGGCUAACUCCGUGCCAGCAGCCGCGGUAAUACGGGGGGUGCAAGCGUUGUUCGGAUUUACUGGGCGUAAAGAGCGUGUAGGCGGCCGGCCAAGCCAGAUGUGAAAGCCCAGGGCUUAACCCUGGAAGGGCAUUUGGAACUGGUUGGCUUGAGUUCGGGAGAGGGAAGUGGAAUUCCGGGUGUAGAGGUGAAAUUCGUAGAUAUCCGGAGGAACACCGGUGGCGAAGGCGACUUCCUGGACCGAAACUGACGCUGAGACGCGAAAGCGUGGGGAGCAAACAGGAUUAGAUACCCUGGUAGUCCACGCUGUAAAUGAUGGGCGCUAGGUGUGGGGGGUUUUUAAUCCCUCCGUGCCGCAGCUAACGCAUUAAGCGCCCCGCCUGGGGAGUACGGCCGCAAGGUUAAAACUCAAAGGAAUUGACGG
rnacentral:rRNA from 1 species